rnacentral:lncRNA from 1 species
CCCCAUCCCCACAAAGGCUGUUGAACCACAGCACCAGGAAGCCUGAGAAUGAAUCCUGAGGGCUCUAGCCCAGGCUUUGUCCCAGGCUUUCUGGUGUGUGCCCUCCUGGUAACAGUGAAAUUGAAGCUACUUACUCAUAGUGGUUGUUUCUCUAGUCUUGAGUGACUGUGUCCACAGUUCAUUUUUUUCCGGUAGGAAUAACUCCUUUUCUACAUCCACACUCCAUAGAGUCUCUCCUUUUCAGACAUCCUGG